UACGAAGGGGGCUAGCGUUGCUCGGAAUCACUGGGCGUAAAGCGCACGUAGGCGGAUUGCUAAGUCAGGGGUGAAAUCCUGGAGCUCAACUCCAGAACUGCCUUUGAUACUGGCGAUCUUGAGUCCGGGAGAGGUGAGUGGAACUGCGAGUGUAGAGGUGAAAUUCGUAGAUAUUCGCAAGAACACCAGUGGCGAAGGCGGUCACCUGGACGGAUACUGACGCUGAGACGCGAAAGCGUGGGGAGCAAACAGG
rnacentral:rRNA from 1 species